rnacentral:lncRNA from 1 species
UUUUAUUGACAACUUUCUAUCUAGACACAGAACAUUUUACCACUUUUUAAUAAGAAUUUCCAGAAAAAGCUUUAGUGUCCAAAGAUUCCCACAAGACACUCAACAUUUGGAGUCCCUGUUGCCCCCUGUGCUUCUCAGUCAUCCAUUGUUUCCCUUAUUGUCUGGAUCUUGUAUUCUUUCAUAACUCAUGCUUAAUACUGAAGGGCACAAAAUGAAAUUAUGCGUGUCUCAUUAUUUAAACAGGGCAAGAAUUCAAACGGCUGGUGGUCUGUACUUACCACAACUUCUGAAACAUAUAGGUGAUACCAUGAACUGCUGUUUUUCAUUUCUCUCCUAAACUAUUUUGGAAUAUUUAGCCCAUUCAAUCAGAAGAGUCAGGCAGCUUCAGACCAGGUUACAAGUGGAAAGACAUUUGUCAAGGCUGCUUUCACUGGCAAUAUACUUUAAUGAGAUGGCAUUGAGAGAAGAUGGUUAAAAGAACAAAGUCAGGUUUGUUGUGAGGCCAUCAGUAACCCAAGAAGCCGCACUGCUCGGGGGCAGAGGCUGUGGAAAGGGUAAUUGCAGGGAGUGCCAAUCACACAUACGCGCUACACAGAAACAACUGGCCAUUGAUGGCCCACACCAAUGGAGGGGCACAGAGGCAGGGAGAUGGAAAACAGCAGAAUUUCUUUCUGUUUGCCUUUCAGUCGCAUUAUAUAUCUUCCAUUGCUAGGAGAAAAACAAGAAAGAAAAUGGUGGCAGGAGCAAGGAAAAUGUAUCAAGAGAUUACACAGCCAGAACUGUGGAAUGAAAAGGAAAAGAGGUUGAAUUAUUGUUAUACUGCCGAGCUGAUGGCUAACCAGAUCCAGAAUGAACUUGUUGCUUCCCGGUACAGAGCUGAGGAGCAAACCAGAGCCUGAUGGUCAAAGGUACUCAUGGAUGGGGGGACCUGGGUGGUUUAGUCGGUUAAGUGUCCAAAUCUUGGUUUCGUGUCAGGUCAUGAUAUCAUUGUCAUGGGUUCAAGCUCCGUGUAGGGCUCUGCACUGUCAGUGGGAUUGUCUUUCUCCCUGUCUCUCUGCCCCUCCCUAUCUCAUGCUGUCUCUGUCUCUUUCAAAAUAAAUAAUAAAUAAACCUUAAAAAAUUGUUUUUU